AUUCAGAACAACCUGUUUGCCCAAUUACUGGUUUGCCUGCCAAGUACCGUGAUCCAAAGACUGGCCUGCCAUAUGCUACAAAAGAAGCUUUUAAAAUAAUUCGAGAACGCUUUCUGAAUGAAAGUGCCAACUCUAGAAAGGACAUAAGCAUGGGAGGCUUAUAUGAUUCAGUUUCUGGAUGUGGUUUUUCAAUUAAGAGAAAGAGAUCAAUAAUGCCAGAUAAAAAUGUCAACCCAGAUGGUCAGUCCUUAGCUCGUUUUCGUAGAAUUCCAGAUUUUGAGGAUGAAGAUUAUUCUGACUAGCUGCCCUGAGGCUGAUAGUGAAAGAUGUCAUGGUGGUUGUAUACAUCAUGAUCAUGAUCCGGACUUCAGGUUGAGAUAAUAUAACAAACCGAGUAUUUAACCACUGCUUGCAAGGAAAUGUUGGGUCGUGUCUUGGAUUCUUGUAAUAUAUUUAUAAAAAAAAUUCUUAUUAACAUGAUUUUUUUCUGGAUAUUUGUGAUAAAU